GUUGAAGUUAUAUUGUGAUUGAUUAUUGUAAAAUUUUAAUUUCAAUACUGUAUUGAAUACAUUUUUAAUAAUUUUCAAAUUUCAUUUUUAUUAAAAAAAAUCCUAAAUUUAUAAAAUUCAGCUGAUAGAUACAAAAAAUAGGUCUAGGUUGGUUAAGACUUGGUCGAGUAUGAUUCAGACUAGGUCGAGUAUGGUUCAGACUAGGUCGAGUACGGUUCAGACUAGGUCGAGUACGGUUCAGACUAGUAUAAAAUGUUUAAGUACUGGUCAAGUACACAUUCAGACUGUUGAGUAUGGUUCAGACUACAGUCGAGUAUUAUCAAGUAAAUCUCAGACGAAUUCAGACUGGUCGAGUAAAAAUCAGUACAGUCGAGUACAGAUAUAGGCCAUUUCAGACUUUUAAUGGUUUGUAGUGUUUAUGCUCUGUAUUUAAAAUCUUUUCAUACUGAAUGUAAAAUAUUGUUGACAGGGAUAGGGACUUGACAUCUGAUUCUUAAAAAUUAAUUGGAUGCAUUUAAGGUGGUACCUAACACUUUCACUAAAUAAAUUUUGCUCGUUUAAUUUUCAUAAAACUUGAACAAUGUUUUUACUUUGACCCUUUUACAAAAAUAUAAAAAUUUCUAAAAUUUGGAACCAAACGUUUAGUCAGAAAAAUUACACUAGUUACAUAGCAGUUUGACAAACACCAAUUUUGAUCAUUGAGAAGCUUAAUAUUCCCUUUACAACACAAUAUUAUUAAAACGUUUAGCUGACUUUACAGAGUUAUCUCCCUGUAGUGUUAGGUACCACCUUAAAGCAUUUCAAAAACAAAUGAAUAGGGAAAAGAGUGAUCUUAGUAUAUACAUAAAUCAAUAUUUUCAGCUUAAUUUUUCAUUGUACUCGGUACAUACAUUAAGAUGUAAAGAUUUAUGUCUAGGAUAUAUAUUUUUUAUUCAUGAUGAUAUGUUUUAUGAUAUGAACACAUUCCAGUAUUUAUAGUUUUUAGUUUGUUGCCAUCGUUACAAAGCUGCUCUUAGAAAAUAUAUUUUGGAUAAUGGGUUGUAUUGUGAUUUCAUCUAUAAGAACUUGGCAACAAUUCAAAUCAUGUGACAGGUAGCAUUGUUUCAGCAUACAUAUACUAAUAAAUCUAGGACAACAAUAUAGCUUCAUAUGCAAGUUGACCUCCAAAUUGAAGCCCACUGAAUGACCUUGAGCAACAUUAUGAAUUUAAGAAGACCACUUCCCUGAAUGAAUAAAGCAUUCUUUAUAUGUACCAAAGUAUUUUUUGGAGCAGCUAAAUGAUGGCAAUUAACUCUUAUGUAAAAUAUUUUGAGUAAUGAUAGGUAAGUGUAAUCUUGAUCACAUGGUCAAGCCGUGAGAAAAAAUAUUGUAUUUUAAAAAAUAUUACUGCAAAAGUUUUGUAUGGGGUUUAAAUGACAGACAGAUUCCAUAAUAGUUAAUAUUUGUACAGAGAUGCAAGCUGCUGGCCAGCUUAUUAUACUACAAGAAUUUAUAUAUAACUGUAUUAUUUAGUAAUGAUCUCAUUUAAUAUAUGUUGGUAUUUUUUAUUAUUUAGACAAAAAAUUACCUCCCUUGUAAUCGUGUCAAAAAUAAUAAGUUAAAGUGAGAAUGUUUUCCAGUUUGUUUUCUUAGAAUAUUUCACACAUGUUUGGGACCAAAAUAGAUAUAUUGUGAUCAUUAAAUUUUUGUUUUUUUAUCAUUCUAUUAUUGUAGUAAUGUCAUUGUAUUCACAUGUGUAUAGUUCAGAAAGCAUUUUUUAUGUGUUUUGAGAACAGUUAUAUAAGAUCUCAAUCAAAAUUCAAUGUUGUAGUACUUCAAAAAAAAUAAAAUACCAUUUUAUUUGAAAUUAUCUCAUGGUUGUUAGAGACGAAAUAUAGUACGAACCAUUAUUUUCCUCCCUUUGAAUAACAUCAGCAGAUCCAGAGGUGCCCUUUUGUGGGAAAAAUAUGGUUGAUCAUAUAUUCUUCACUAUCAAUUUACAAUAAAAACAAUUAAACAGUAGGUACUGAUAUAAAUUCUUUUCAAAUAAAAUGGCUGAAGCAAGUAAACUUUUUUGUUGUCUGUCCUUGGUAAUUGGCAACUGGUUGGAAUUUCUUCUUCUUUAACUUCUGAAGCAGAUAAAUAAGGCAUAACAUUUUAUUUCUUAAGACACAAAUCAAUCUUUAAUUGUAGGUUUUUCUAACAAUUUUUGGAUCAUUUGAACGGUAUAACAUGCAGAAAGAUCUGAAAAUCAAUAUUUGCAAUUUAUGUAUACAAUGUAUUUUAAAAUCUCAGUUCUUGCCAAAAUGUUGAUUUUAUAUGUAUAAACAUAAUAUGAGUUGUCAAUCAUGUUAUAUUUAACCAUUAACAAUGUUUAAACUUAGCAGUUAUAUUAAUACAUAACAUGUACCAUAAAACAAGAAAUUGUCCUUGAAUGUUAUUACUGACAGUCACUUGGCAUUGUAUGGAGUAAAAACACGCUUGAUUUAAUGAAAAGUUGGCUUUGCAAUGUCAUGAUUGGUAGGUUUUUUAGGAUGUUUUGGAAUUCAAUGUUUAUUCUUUUUAAUUUCCCUUAAUUUUAGAAAAAUUUAUAUCCGACAAAGCUAUAUUCAAGCUUGCUUUAUUGAACUUAUUUCUUUCAAAACAAUUAAAACAUGUUAAAAUUUCCUAUUUUGUACUAAGUUCUUGGUUUCCCCUGUUUAAUUGUUCCAUAAAGGUAUCAAUUGCAGAUAUAUUGAUGUUAGUAUUCUUACACAGUUAGUUAUUGUAGAAGAAAAACCCAUUUAGAAUACAUUAACAGAGGCGGAUUUAGAGGGGGGCCCAGGGGCCCGGCCCCCCCCGUUUUGGGAAAAAAUUUGGUUGCUUAUAUAGAGAAUCACUGAAGCGUGACUGGAGCGGGCCCCCUCUUAGGUCAGUCAGUGGGCCCUCACUUAUGAAAAUUUCUGGAUCCGCCACUGAUUAAGGCAACUGACCUUUUUCAGUUUCUUUGGUCUUUCUGAACUACAUGUUAGGUCAGUCACUUUUCUCAAUGCAUUUAGAUAUGACAAGUUGCAAUACUUAUUGCAGAAAGUAGUUAAAAAUGUUGUAGGUUUACUUACAGAUACUGUAGAUAUUUCAACUUUUUGUUGUUUGUUCCCAAUUACUCAUGGAUAGAUAACAUGAUAACAAAUUCUCAUCAAGGGUUAGUUUUUGGAAAACUGGCCCAUUGUCAGUUCCUUCUCAUUUCUAGAGAACUUUUUCUUUUAAAUCCAAAAAAUAAAUCACUUAUUUCACACAUGAUUUCUUUCGUAGUAUAGGUAUCACUGAUUUAGAUAGUUAAUAUGCUCAAGGUUAACAUGUGUAUGCAUUUGUUUUAAUUAAUGAUAUGUAAUUUGUAAAUCCCUGCUUCAAAGACGGGGGUAUAAUGACUUAUAUCAGUCACACCAGCCGUUCAUCAACCGUUCAUCAAUCUACAUUUGUUUGCUUGUUCAGAACACAUUUCUGUCACAUUUAACUUUUACUGCAAUAAUUUCUAUAUAUAUGACACUUAGCUUCACCUGUUAUGCUAUACUGUAUUACACAUUAAUUGGUUCCUUUAUAUGGUCUACUUCCGGUUUGCUGGAAACUCUUAAAAAUGUACAAAUAUGAAAUUUUGGCACACAUGGAUUUUUUAAUAUUUGGCAUUUUUUGCAAAAAAUUAUUGAUUCACAUAUUGAUUGUAAAAUAGUCAACAACAUUGAGCUUUUGUUACAUCAGUGAGCCAUAGCUCCAAUAGACCAUUCACAUUACCGACUUUUGAUCCUUUGUUCUACAAUUAUUUGACAGGUUACCUACUCUGUGGUAGGCCAUCCUGGUACUCAGUCAGUUACGAGCAGUCAAAAAAAAGGAAAAUUAAAUAUAUGAUCAGUGCAAUUUGGGAGAAAAUUACUAUUUUUCGAUGAUUAAUUCAUAAAUAUAAAGCAUUUAAACAGUUACCUUUCCCUUAAAACUGUAUCGAUUAAAAUAUUGAAUUUACUUAUUCAAAUGCUCUUGCUUGACCCAGUACCAGGAUGUCCUACCACAGAGUAGGUAACCGUUGGAAAAAAUAUUAAUUCCAGAGUAAAAAGUGGGUGAUAUGAAAAUGGACUAUUCAUCUUGUUUGUCAACCUAAUUUACCGGUAUCCAUUUUAAUAUUCCAUGACUGCUCAAUCUGGCGGAGCCAGUAGUUUGUUAUUAUCGUCUUAAGUAGAAAUAUUCUAGUCUUCAUGAAUUGCGUCUUCAAAAUUGAUUAUAAAUACUUAAACAAAGUUAAUAUCUCUUUUAACUUUUUCAUACGAUUUCAAUUAAUCAUUUAAGAACAAAAUUUCCUUAAGUCUAUGGCAGCCUACAGAAAUUUCAGUAUAGCAUACAAUUUUUACCAAGAAUUUGUGCAAUUUAAAGAUUAUCAAUUGUAUGAACAUUUGUUAUUUUUGAAAAAUAUAAAGACCUGUAGAUGUCUUUGUCCAAUUGGUAACAGGGGCGGAUCCAGCCAUUUUAAAAAGGGGGUUUCCAACCCAGGACAAAUGGAGGUUCCAACUAUAUGUCCCAAUUCAAAUGCAUUGAUCAUCCAAAAAAAAGGGGGGGUUCCAACCCAGAACCCUCCCCCUGGAUCCGCCACUGGGUAAUCAUUGAGGUUGCUGUCUCAUUAACAUGUAUCUCGUUUUAAUCACAAUCAUAACUUUUAUUCAUAAUUAUAACUUACUCCUAUUUCAACUGGAAUAAAAUAAACUACCCCAAUAGACAAUUUUCAUAUUACCGACUUUUGACUUUGGACAAUUAUUUGACUGGUUACCUACUUUGUGGAAGACAUCCUGGCCAAUUACGAGCAACGAAAAAAAUUAAAAUCGAAUAUACAUUCAUUGCAAUUUGGGGUGAAAUUUACUAUGAUACCAUGAUUUUAUCGCGUGUAGAAAUCAUUUAAACAGUUAACUUUCCCUCAAAAUUGUACUGAUUAAAAUCUUCAAUUUACUUAUUUGUCUUGCUCUUGCUUGACGGAGUACCAGGAUGUCCUAACACGGAAAAGGUUACUUGUCGAAAAAAUAUUAAUUCUGGAGUCGAAAGUUGGUAAUAUGAAAAUGGACUAUAAAGGAUGGGUUAUUUAUGUGUAUCUGAAGUACUAGUAAAUGUGUCGAUACUUGAUUUGUAUGCUGUGUAAUAGUUAUCCUGUAGAUUUUGCUUCCUAUAAUUAUGUCUCAUACUUGACCUGAGACAUUUUGAGUACAUUCUACUUAUAAAUUGUAACUGUGGUAAAUAUGUAUUAUUGAUAAAAUAAAAUGUGUUCUUUCUCAAAAAGAGAGAACAUUUAAUUUUAAAAUAUUGAUGUACUUGUGUUUUUUCUUAAUCCCGAGGCAAUUAAAAUUAAACAAUAAAACUGAUCUCAUUACAGUAUUCUAUUCACCUGUUGAGUUAUUCUUUAGAUCAAGUUAAGGUAGUUCUACUACAGUAAUCACUAGCCAGUCACAGAGGUUGUGAGGUCUAACCCUAGGGUGUACUCGACUUCAAUCAUAAUUGACAAAGAUUGUCAGUUUUCCUAUUGAAGGUCUGUGGUUUUCACAGGU
rnacentral:lncRNA from 1 species